rnacentral:rRNA from 1 species
CGCAGGGAAACCGAGUCUUAAUUGGGCGUUAAGUUGCAGGGUAUAGACCCGAAACCCGGUGAUCUAGCCAUGGGCAGGUUGAAGGUUGGGUAACACUAACUGGAGGACCGAACCGACUAAUGUUGAAAAAUUAGCGGAUGACCUGUGGCUGGGGGUGAAAGGCCAAUCAAACCGGGAGAUAGCUGGUUCUCCCCGAAAGCUAUUUAGGUAGCGCCUCGUGAAUUCAUCUCCGGGGGUAGAGCACUGUUUCGGCUAGGGGGCCAUCCCGGCUUACCAACCCGAUGCAAACUGCGAAUACCGGAGAAUGUUAUCACGGGAGACACACGGCGGGUGCUAACGUCCGUCGUGAAGAGGGAAACAACCCAGACCGCCAGCUAAGGUCCCAAAGUCAUGGUUAAGUGGGAAACGAUGUGGGAAGGCCCAGACAGCCAGGAUGUUGGCUUAGAAGCAGCCAUCAUUUAAAGAAAGCGUAAUAGCUCACUGGUCGAGUCGGCCUGCGCGGAAGAUGUAACGGGGCUAAACCAU